CUGCAGUGCCCGACUUCCGGGGAUUCCUGUAUAAAUAUAGCUGCCUCGGCGCUCCUCGUUCUUUCAAGAGUGUCGGAGUCGUUCUGCUUGUUGUCCGUUGUUGAAUUCGUCAGUGAUUACAAGAUAUUUUUUGGUUAAGAUCUCAUCGGUGAUUACAAGUUAAUGGUUGAGGAAAGAAGAGGAUCUGCACAGCUGGAGAUAAAAUUUGGCAAAGUUGCUGUAUUAGAAUUUAACACUGUACGUUGUCAGUGCUAGGCAUGCACUUUUCUCCCUAGAUCUUGGUCUGGUAAAUGUGUGAUGAUAUCUAGGUUUGAACUUUAGCAUAUAUGUGGUCCAUUUCCUGGUAGGAUGUACACUGCUGCAAGACCAUACAGACCACAAGUGGCACCGAAUGGGAUACAGAACUUGUAUAAGUAAAUGCCUGACAUCUGAUGUUUGUAUAAAUAAAUGAAAAUUUUUUGACUGUU